GACGAACGCUGGCGGCGUGCUUAACACAUGCAAGUCGAACGGAAAGGCCCAGCUUGCUGGGUGCUCGAGUGGCGAACGGGUGAGUAACACGUGGGUGAUAUGCCUCUAACUUCGGGAUAAGCUUGGGAAACUGGGUCUAAUACCGGAUAGGACAAUCGUUUAGUGUCGGUUGUGGAAAGUUUUUUCGGUUAGGGAUGAGCCCGCGGCCUAUCAGCUUGUUGGUGGGGUAAUGGCCUACCAAGGCGUCGACGGGUAGCCGGCCUGAGAGGGUGGACGGCCAGGGGGGGAGGGAGGCACGGACAAGAAUACGACGGGAGGCGGUAGUGGAGAAUAUGGCAGAAUGGGCGCAAGCUUGAGGCGGGGACGGCGGGUGGGGGACGACGGCCGGCUGGUAGUAACCCUCUAGGGCAAGGGAAGAAGUUUUGGUGACGGUAGUUGUAUAAGAAGACCCGGCAAACUGGGGGACCGCAGCAGGGAUAAUAGAUCGGAAGAGCAC
rnacentral:rRNA from 1 species